rnacentral:rRNA from 1 species
GAAUCCCGUCUGUAAUGCGGACUCCCGGUGCUCUACGAUGCGCUCUCAAAGAGUCGAGUUGUUUGGGAAUGCAGCUCAAAACGGGAGGUAAAUUCCUUCUAAAGCUAAAUAUUGGCGAGAGACCGAUAGCGAACAAGUACCGUGAGGGAAAGAUGAAAAGCACUUUGGAAAGAGAGUCAAACAGUACGUGAAAUUGUUGAAAGGGAAACGCUUGAAGUCAGUCGCGUCUUCUGGGAUUCAGCCUUGCUUCUGCUUGGUGCAUUUCCUAGUUUGACGGGUCAACAUCGAUUUCGACCGUCGGAUAAGGGUUUGAGGAAUGUGGCAUCUUCGGGUGUGUUAUAGCCUCUUAUCGCAUACGUCGGCUGGGAUCGAGGAAGUCAGCGUGCCUUUAUGGUCGGGGUUCGCCCACGUAACACGCUUAGGAUGUUGGCAUAAUGGCUUUAAGCGACCCGUCUUGAAACACGGACCAAGGAGUCUAACAUGUCUGCGAGUGUUUGGGUGGAAAACCCGAGCGCGUAAUGAAAGUAAAAAGUUGGGACCCUCACGGGGCACCGACGCCCGAGCUGGACCUUUUGUGAAGGCUUUGAGGUAGAGCAUAUAUGUUGGGACCCGAAAGAUGGUGAACUAUGCCUGAAUAGGGCGAAGCCAGAGGAAACUCUGGCGGAGGCUCGUAGCGAUUCUGACGUGCAAAUCGAUCGUCAAAUUUGGGUAUAGGGGCGAAAGACUAAUCGAACCAUCUAGUAGCUGGUUCCUGCC